UGCAAGCGCGGUCCUAAUUCUUUCCCAAAAGUGUCGACUGGGUCCUAAUUCUUUCAAAAUGCACAUCUGGGUCCUAAAUCUUUCUAAGUUGUUCACCCGAGGUCCUAAUUUCGACUGUCCGCCGCUGACCAGCUCGCGUGGCGCGUUGACCGCUGCCACGUCGACUCGAGGGCCCACGAGGGAUAACGACCAGCCGUGCAUUUUUUCAAAAGAGCCCCCCAACCCUAAUCUCUCCACAGCCGUAGUCCUUUCCUCUCCUCUUCCCCACCUCUCUCUGCUCUGGCGAAACAGGGGAGAUCGACGGCGGCGGUCCGGUGAGAAGAGGCAGGCGGCCAUCGUAGGCGCUUGUCCGGCGGCGGCGCCGCUAGGAUGGCGCCCGUGCAUCGGCGACCUGGAGAUCCUCCUCCACGAUACGGAGCACAAGAGGAGGUUUUUACCGUAGAAAUCAACUAUGGUGGAUUUUUCUGCGGAUUUGGCCGAUCGAAGACGUAUGUCGAUGGUAAAGUUGCUCUGUUCGAUGGUUGCGAAGUAGAUACAUGGUCUCCUCUCUGGCUCACUGAUUUUAUGCAGCAACUGGGAUAUAGUGACCAAUCUAAGCAUGUUAUUUACUGGUUACUGCCUGGAAAGAAUUUAGCCGACGGACUGCGGAUUGUGGACUGUGACACUGACACUUUGCACAUGACAGCAGUUGUUCCAAAAUUCCAGUUGUUUCAGUUGUUUGUUGAUCACAAAGAUAUGGCCUUUGACAAUGUAAUGGAUGAUAUUCAUGUUAGUGGUACA